rnacentral:lncRNA from 1 species
AUGAAAAAACGUCUUAUGGAGAAAUUUAGAUACAGGUCUCAGAGAAGCUUCAAGACCAGGGAGUGGCUUCAGACUGUUGAGAGAAACGAGAAAAUGGACACCACUUUAAAAGUAACCAGAAUGAUUCCAUUGGAAUUUGAAAUAUUUCUUUGCUCAAGCCACAGCCAAGGUAUUCUACAUUCAGCAGCAGACUGUCUCCUGAAGCAAUCCUAUGCCUGUAAACCUAUGGUUCUUAUUCCUGAACAUUGUCAGAACACACUUCCUUUACUUUGUCUCUCAUACCCAAACAAUUAAGACAGUUCACAGAACUUUUGUCCCAGACAUAUUAAAGAUACUCAAGUGUUAGCAUGGGUUUUCUUCUAUAAUAUUUGUGUGUUGCUCUUUUUAAAUAAAAGGAACCCUAAAAUUGUUUUUUUUAAACAUUAAAUACCUCAUAGUGCUUGCUAACAUGGAUUGCAAUUCACUCACAUGCACAUACGGGCAGGCUUCAUGCUUUCGGUAUAUGCCGUGUGUAGAUUUUGGUAAAAUUCAAAAACAUUAAACCUUCCUAUUAGCCAUGAAACCCUUUACAAUAAUAUGUAAGUUCAUAUACACACACACUCACACACACACACACUGUGUGUGUGUGGCUGAAUAUGCCUCAGGACUCAUAGUCCUGGCCAUAUUUUGUCAUUUGGUUGUGUUUUUAUCAUUAAUGCUUGUAAUGCUCGAUGCAGUUUUCCCGUUUCCCUCAUCUCUUGUUCCAUACAGAGCUUUUGCUCCAAGAGAACACCUCCUUUCUUGAUCCCUUCUUUCCAUUUUUCUUGUUUGCAAAUGAUACCAUUGAUGGUGAAUGCCUUAUGUUGCAAGUGAGGCUAAAAUAAUUGGGUAGGC